UGUAAGUGUUUUCCUUGUAAAUGGCCC
rnacentral:piRNA from 1 species